rnacentral:rRNA from 1 species
GUAGGCUGCAACUCGCCUACAUGAAGUCGGAGUUGCUAGUAAUCGCGGAUCAGAAUGCCGCGGUGAAUACGUUCCCGGGUCUUGUACACACCGCCCGUCACACCAUGGGAGUCGGAAAUGCCCGAAGUCUGUGACCCAACCUUAGGGAGGGAGCAGCCGAAGGCAGGUCGGAUGACUGGGGUGAAGUCGUAACAAGGUAAC